AACGUAGGGGACAAGCGUUAUCCGGAUUUACUGGGCGUAAAGCGCCCGUAGGCGGCCUGACAAGUUGGACGUGAAAGCUCCUGGCUUAACUGGGAGAGGCCGUUCAAAACUGUCAAGCUAGAGUCUGGAAGAGGAGAGCGGAAUUCCCGGUGUAGUGGUGGAAUGCGUAGAGAUCGGGAGGAACACCAGUGGCGAAAGCGGCUCUCUGGUCCAAAACUGACGCUGAGACCCGAAAGCGUGGGGAGC
rnacentral:rRNA from 1 species